CGGUACGAAAGGGAAUUGUAUACACAAGUGCUGGACCGGAGUUUUCAAGUGUGAGUACUGAAGUUGAUAUUGUAUCCAUCAACGUUGAUGAUGUUGAGCAAUCAAAUUAUAAAAGGUUGACCAUAGAUGGGAAGAACAAUGCAUUUCCCUCGCCAUCACCCGACGGGAAACGGAUUGUAUUCAGGUCGGGACGGUCGGGUCACAAGAACUUAUAUAUAAUGGAUGCAAUCGAAGGGGAGACGAGUUGGAUUGAAAGACUAACAGAUGGUCCGUGGACGGACACAAUGUGUAAUUGGUCACCAGAUGGUGAUUUGAUUGCAUUUUCUUCGGAUCGACAUAAUCCAGGGUCAGGUAGUUUCGAGUUAUAUAUGGUUCACCCGAACGGUACCGGGUUAAGAAGGUUGCUUAGGAGCGGUUCAUCCGGACGGGUCAACCACCCGUCAUUUCGUCCGGAUGGGAAGUUAUUGGUAUUCACUACGGAUUACGGUGGAAUAUCAGCAGAGCCAAUCUCAAACCCACAUCACUACCAACCAUAUGGUGAGAUAUUCACAAUGAAAUUGGACGGUUCUGAUUUGAAGAGACUGACCCACAAUUCUUAUGAAGAUGGGACCCCUACGUGGGCCCCAUUGUACAUCAAUCCAGUUGACGUGGAAUGGCCGAGGAAGGGCGAAUGUGCAUUUGAGGAUUGUCAUUGGCUGAAUGAAAUGCCAGGGCGUGGAACCAAGUUGGUCGGACCAUGGGGGUUAGCCAAGCCUCUUUGCGGUGUAUUUUAAAUUUGUAUGGUGUA
rnacentral:lncRNA from 1 species